UGGGGGAUAUUGCACAAUGGGCGAAAGCCUGAUGCAGCGACGCCGCGUGGGGGAUGAAGGCUUUCGGGUUGUAAACCUCUUUCGCUAUCGAACAAGGCCCGCUUAGGGUGGUUGAGGGUAGGUGGAGAAGAAGCGCCGGCUAACUACGUGCCAGCAGCCGCGGGAAUACGUAGGGCGCGAGCGUUGUCCGGAAUUAUUGGGCGUAAAGGGCUUGUAGGCGGCUUGUUGCGCCUGCUGUGAAAACGCGGGGCUUAACUUCGCGCGUGCAGUGGGUACGGGCAGGCUUGAGUGUGGUAGGGGUGACUGGAAUUCCAGGUGUAGCGGUGGAAUGCGCAGAUAUCUGGAGGAACACCGAUGGCGAAGGCAGGUCACUGGGCCAUUACUGACGCUGAGGAGCGAAAGCAUGGGUAGCGAACAGG
rnacentral:rRNA from 1 species